GUUAUAUUGGCAGAGUUAGUGCUAUAAAUUUAGAAUUUAUGAACAUGAGUUUUUACUUAUAUAUAAUA
rnacentral:tRNA from 1 species